GGGGGAAAAAUUAAAAAUUUUAAAUUAAUAAAAAAAAUUUUAAUACGAAAAUGGGGGUUGGAGUAUUAUUAAAAGAAAAAAUUUAAAUUUUUAUAGUAAAUUAGUAUUGUAAAAGAAUUUUGAAAUAAUUGAAAAAUAAUUUAAUAAGAAGUAAAUUUUAUUUAUUGUAUCUUGUGUAUCAGAGUUUAUUAAAUAAAUUUAUUUUUAUAAAUAAAUCUCGAAUUUGAAAGAGAUAAUUAAUUAUAAAAGUUAAUGUGGCAUAAUUAUUUUUAAUAGUUAAUUUGAAAUGAAAUGUUAAUCGUUUUUAAAUAUAUCUAGUUUUUUUAGAAAUAAAUUUAAUUUAAAAUUUAAUUUUAAUAAUAAUUUUUUAAAAAAUUAUUAUUAAAUUAAAUUAAAUAUUAAAAGGGAUAAGCUUUUUAAUAAAAAUUUAUAAUUUAAUAAAAAUUAUUAAAAUUUUUAAAAUUUAAAUUGUUUAAAAAUUAAAAUUUUUUAUAAAAAAUUUUAAUAAAAAUAAAAUUUAAUAAAAUUUUAAAUUUUUAUAAAAAAAAAAUUUUUUUUUUAUAAAAAAAUUAUUAUAAUGAUAAAAUUAGUAUAAAUAUAAAUAUAAAUAUAUUAUUUAUAAAUAUAAAUUAAAUAAAAGGAAUUCGGCAAAAAUUUAUAUUCACUUGUUUAUCAAAAACAUGUCUUUUUGGAAAUAAUUUAAAGUCUAAUCUGCCCACUGAUAAAUAUUAAAGGGCUGCAGUAUAUUGACUGUACAAAGGUAGCAUAAUCAUUAGUCUUUUAAUUGAAGACUUGUAUGAAAGAUUUAAUGAAAUAUAAACUGUCUCUUAUUUAUAAUUAGAAUUUAAUUUUUUAGUUAAAAAGCUAAAAUAAAUUUAAAAGACGAGAAGACCCUAUAGAGUUUUAUAAUUAAUUUAUUUUAGAUUAUAUAUAUAAUUUAAAAUUAAAAAUAAAUUAAUUAUUUUAUUGGGGUGAUAGAAAAAUUAAAUAAACUUUUUUUAAAUAUAGUCAUAAAUAAAUGAUUAAAUGAUCCAUUAAUAAUGAUUAAAAGAAAAAAUUACCUUAGGGAUAACAGCGUAAUUUUUUUUUUUAGUUCAAAUAAAAAAAAGAGAUUGCGACCUCGAUGUUGGAUUAAGAUAAAAUAUAAAUGCAAAAGUUUAAAAUUUUGAUCUGUUCGAUCAUUAAAAUCUUACAUGAUCUGAGUUCAAACCGGUGUGAGCCAGGUUGGUUUCUAUCUUUAAAAAAUUAAAAUAUUUCAGUACGAAAGGAUCAAAUAUUUAAAAUAAUUUUAUUAAAAUGAAUAUUAUUAAUAUUUAUAUAUAUAUAUAUAUAUAUAUAUAUAUAUAA
rnacentral:rRNA from 1 species